rnacentral:rRNA from 1 species
UACGGAGGGUGCAAGCGUUAAUCGGAAUUACUGGGCGUAAAGCGCGCGUAGGCGGUUUGUUAAGUCGGAUGUGAAAGCCCCGGGCUCAACCUGGGAACUGCAUACGAUACUGGCAAGCUAGAGUGCAAUAGAGGGGGGUAGAAUUCCAGGUGUAGCGGUGAAAUGCGUAGAUAUCUGGAGGAAUACCGAUGGCGAAGGCAGCCAUCUGGCCUAAUACUGACGCUGAGGCACGAAAGCAUGGGGAGCAAACAGG